rnacentral:rRNA from 1 species
UACGGGGGGGGCAAGCGUUGUUCGGAAUUACUGGGCGUAAAGGGCUCGUAGGCGGCCAACUAAGUCCGACGUGAAAUCCCCAGGCUUAACCUGGGAACUGCGUCGGAUACUGGAUGGCUUGAAUUCGGGAGAGGGAUGCAGAAUUCCAGGUGUAGCGGUGAAAUGCGUAGAUAUCCGGAAGAACACCGGUGGCGAAGGCGGCCUGCUGGGCAGUAGCUGACGCUGAGGCGCAACAGCGUGGGGAGCAAACAGG